GGAAGGAGGAGGCAGCCAGAGAGGCCUCCACUGUUCUCUGCAGCAGAAGACCCCCUGCUGCCAGAUUUUUAAAAGUCAAUAAUCAGAUCAGUAAUCCCAAAAUGACAUAAUUCCCAAGAAAAGCAGAAGAUCUUUCUCCAAUUCAAGUUUACUGUCAUUCAAAUUUACAAUACAUGGUCAUUAUUCAAUAAAAUGAAUAAUGUUUGAAGUUGAAAUUCUACAAAUAACAAACUGUUCUUUUACUUCCCCUUUUCAAGCACAAUAAUAAAACAUUCUAUUACAUAUAUCUAAUUUCUUGAACUUUCCUGUAAGUGUUAUGCAAAAUGAUUUUGCUGGUCAACAAUGGACCUCAUCUACUAGCUUUUUAUAUAGUGUUAUCUAUAGUCAUGAUGUUUCUAAAAAGUGUGAAGACAGGUCUGAAGGCUCACAGUCUAAAAUUCUGAUAAAGGGGCAUAGCAAGGUUGUGGUGGUCGCAGAGAUAAGAUUUUAAAAUGGGCCCCCCUCCCUCACUGAAGCUCAGCUCAUGAAGUAAAGAAAUAUUAAAUAAGGCUGAAUAGUGGUAACAAAAAGCCUAGCAAAAUUUAGAUAGAUAGAUAGAUAGAUAGAUAGAUAGAUGGAUAGAUGGAUAGAUAGAUAAGGUUAUAUAUCCAUAUCUAUCUAUCUAUCUAUGUGCCACAGUAGAACAUCAUCCUAGAUUUUUUUUUUUUAAAGGUUUUGUAAAUUGUGGACGAUGCAAGUCAUUUAAUGGUACUAGAGAAGGACAUGCUGUUCUGGUAGCUCCAGGUCUUAACACUCACAUCAAUUUCAGAGGAUGAGUACAACUGAAGGAAACCCAGGCGGGUGCACGGCUGGGGGAGUCAGUCAUGUGACUUGCCUCUGGGGGGCCCCCCAAGGCAGUGGGCCCCCAGACAACUGUCUCUCCUUGCCCUAUUAUAGUUACACCCUUGAUCUGAUACAUAUUUCUGCACAAUCUUAUGUUAUGUUUUUCUUAAGCACCAUAUAUCUUUCUUCGUCAAUUUGACAUACGAGAUACUCAUACCUGAUAUAAGCUGUUCCAUUAGCAAAAACAGCUAUUGAAAUUAGCUUUUUUACAGUACAUAUAGUACAUUUUUCUCAGUGUUGAAUGCAUUGCUAAAAUAAAGCACAAAUUGGCUGACAGACUCAUUCUGGUGCUGUAGUAAGGUCCCUGCAUUCCACAUGCCCAGCAGCCAAUGGCACCUGUGUAAAAACUUAUCAGAAGUUUAGGAGAGGUUGCAUACCUUUUCUCUUUCUUGCCCAUUUCUCUGGAUCUGUUUCAUCUUCACCCCUCUGCUUCCAAAUCCAGCAUUACCACUGUUGGCAGAAGUUUUUUUUAAAAACACCCCACCAGUACAAGGAGAUGUGCACACUCAUAUCAUGCAAUUUUCAGCAGCUCAAUGACAACACAAGAGAUAAUUCAUCGUGCUAUACUCAGAAAAUGUCUUGUGGCUUCAGCAUAACCUAAACUUGAAAACUGGGCUAUACAAGGAAUAUUCUUGCAAUAGAGACAGUGGUGUGGACAGAUUUAAUAUAAGGAUAUCCAUCCAUCCUUCCACUAGCUUUUGGACACACGGUUUAUUUUUUAUUCUUUCUAUUGUUUCACACAAUGUGGGUGAUCCUGGUUCUCCUGAUCUGGCUGGGUUAUAACCAUAACGUUAUUUCAGUGGUUGGGCUAUAUUUUACACACACACACAUUUUUACAAACCGUAGGUAGGACAGAUAUUUAUGGAAAUAUGUCACAUUAUUUUUGGCAGAAUAAUAGAGAUAGAUAGCAACUACUUUGUGUUACAAAUGUGAAUGUAAAAUUUUCGAUAAACCUCGCUGCAUUAAAAAUGAAUUAACUGUG